UCUUAUACGGUGAAAUGUGCACAAUCUUCUGCCAUACUUUAUAUUGAAUUCCUCAAAAAUUUCAAUUGCCGUUAUUCAAUUUGAAUUUACUUUCCCCAAAUCAUAGAUCCCCAAAUGAAGGAACCAAUUCCCGUCGGCACCCUUCCGCCUUUCUCACGCCGGCGACUACACUCCAUUACCGGUCCGAUUUCUCCCCAAACAAUUCGACGCAGCCUCUGUUCGGUCGAUUAAAGCUAUUUUGAAUUCCUCCCAAAUUUCAAUUCCGCCUGACCAUGACCGCCCACCGCUACUGCCGUCGGUCAAUAGCAGCCGGCACCGACUCUCCUUUGCGCAUACACUCGCUGGACUCGCUUGCAGACAGCGGCCUCCGUCGCUCCGGAGCCGCUCCCUCCGUUCCAGUUGCACUCUCCUCUGUCUGGAAUUGCUGACGUCGCGCACACCAGCCGCCGCGUCGCAAGGCUGUCAUGCCAUCAGUCCAUCCGUCGGAUAUCAGGUGCCGCCGAGCGGUGAGAGGCACUCGAGAAUCCACCGAGCAGUCGCUGCCGUCGGGGUCUCACUUCGGUCGGUGUCAUUCUCCAGCCAUAUCGGCUGCACUGUCAAUUUCGUUGGACUGCCGUGGACUUCUCGGCCUAGGUUGACUUGGAAAAAUUUGCAAGGAAUCUUCCUCUUCACCUUAUCGCAGCGAUUAUGGUUUGGGAAAGGGAAAAAUCCACGUUCAAGUAUUUGCUAUGUGGAAUUCUUCUGUUGCAUUCCAUGUGUGAUCUUGCCUCCCGGGUGCCCAAAAUUGAACAGGUUAUCGGAAGUGAUACUGAGCUAUCUAUCAUCAUAUCAAGCAGAUGGCAAUGCUCUAUUUUUUUGUUGAUUUUCAAAAGACCUAUAUUACACUUAUAAUUGGAUUUGUGUGCUGAUUGACGCAAGACAACAAACAUAAACGGAUGGAAAGAAAAUCUUUAUUUUGACUUGGUUGCUUUACUAGCGACCUGUAUUCCUUCACUGGUUUUUUUCCACUACAUCAUGUAACAGUCAUUGUUGACGGUCAUUGUUUCUUCACAGUACCAAGAGGUUGCUCUAGCAUUGACUGCAUAUUACAAGGUAGCAAUCCAGGAUUUGGUGUACAUAUGCAAAGAGGCAGCAUUUGCUGCGGUUUGUGUAGAUGUCAAGUAUCUGCGGACCAACGAUUCAUCUAGAAGUGUAUCCCCUACUACUGAAGAGACCUUGAAUCACCUCGGCUGCAGUGUGAUUCUUCUCUUCAAUUUCUACAGUCUCUGUGUCAGCAACAGUUAUUUCGGGAAUGCAUUGUUAACAAACAGGUUAUUUAUAAGUCAAUUUGAGUCCCGAAUCGUUCGUGCUGCAUCAGAAGAUAAUUUAUUCCAUGAGCUUGGGAAGCGGUGGAUUGCAGGAGCAACUAGCUUCCUGUGUUUGACUCGGCCCUGAUGAAAAAAGGAGUAGCUCUACUUCUCAUCUUUGUAGUCGUCAAAAUCAUGGUCUUUGAGGAUUCUGGUAACUCUACUUCUAAUCUUUUUCAGGUGUUGUUCGAGCCCGUAUAUACUCAACUUGGGAUGCUUCCUACUUAUACAUGAGUGCCUAGCUGCUAUUUAUUUUCAUUCAUGCCUGAUAUGUUGAUUUUUAUAGAGAAUUUAAAUGUUAAUUGACAUGUUAUGAUUAAGAGUAAAUUUCCGAGAGGUUGUCUCACAACUCUCUAAUCUGUGCAUCUCCCUAGUUUUUAAUGAUUUCAUACACAUCACCAGUCGAUAAACAAAGGAUAUUAGCUUCAUAAAUAUCCAAAAAUUGCCCUAGUACUAUGCUACUUUGUAGUGAGGACGAAAAGCUUCCACGAACAGUGUUUCACCACUUGUUAUUUGUGUGUGCAUGCUAGAUUUUCUCUCUAUUGAUUGUCACUACUUUCACCACUUUUUUAUGGGUUAUUAGUGUAGACUUCGUUUCUCUCGAGGGUUGGUCUAUAAACUUCUUGUUGCUUACUAACUUCUGGAGAACUAGGUUUCCCGUGCUUCAGAUACAGUGACAAUAAUGUUCUUUGGUGCCCGAUUUCUUGAGCUAAGGAGAGAGAACUAUUCCGGUUUUGAAAAAUUAAUUCAAAAAGCCAUAGGGCCGAUCAACUGAAUGAGAGCUUUAUGAGUUGCAAUCUUGUUGGUAUUGGUGCAUAAAAAUGAUUUAGGCAAUAGGACUAAAAGCCUCAUAUCCAAAUUAUCACAUGCCUACCCUACAUAAACCACUAGUGAGCCGGUUUGAGCCCCAAAAGCCUAUUUUCUUUGUUGAAAAUUUUGAAGUCACUAUAUUAGCCUACUUAUUAUAUCCGUUUGUUGGCCUAUAUUUUCUACCCUAGUCACUAAAAUUAAAGUGCUAGCACAUUAUUGGGAGGGUAUUUAUGGUGGCAAGGAAAAGAUGGAAGUCAUGGAACAUUCAUUAGGUGGUAUUCAUUUAUAUUGAGAUACAAAUGAAAAAACUCUCUCUUCAAACAAAAGUAAAAUAAAAAGGCAGCCUUUAAUGUGUAAAAAAAAGCCAAGGCUUGAAAAAAUAAAAAAUAAAAAGGCAGCCUUUUUACGUGUAAAAAAAGCCAAGGCUAGAAAAAAAAUAAAAUAAAAAGGCAGCCUUUCAUGUGUAAAAUAAAAAGCCAAGGCAAGUAAAAAAAUAAAAUAAAAAGGCAGCCUUUCAUGAGUUAAAAAAGCCAAGGCCAGAAAAAAGAAUAUCGAGCGAAAAACAGAAAUAUGCUCAAAAGAAUAAGAUCACUUGGUUUAGAAGGUAGAAAAAUCUCCAGUUUGGGGUGUUGAGCUGUCAGAAUUUUGUAUUUUAGUGAGGUGGGAAGGAUGUUGUGAGGGAUGUGCUAGUAUUUUAAGAAUGGUGAUAAGCUACUUAUCCAAAUAUGAUCACACCUUUACCAAAAGCCCCGUUACAUCCAAAUGAAAAGACCUUUUGAUUUAUGCAUCAUAUUGACUUGUGAGCGAUGAAUUUUGCUUGAUUUUGGGAGAAAGAUCUUAUGUGCUUAAAAUAAAGAAUAGCUGGAAGAACUUCUCUUUAUGAAUUAGCGACGAUGGUUUGAGACUCCCAAGACAUAAAUCGAACUAACAUUGAAGCAUUGGAUGCCUAGCUCUUAGGGAAUUAGUUCGUGUACAAUUCAUGUUCUAAAAGUUUUACUCGCGAGUGAAUUCGGGCUCAACCUAAUUUCUCUAAAUGAUUCGUGUGAUUUGACGUGACUUGAAGUAGAGGACUAUCUAAUUUCUUGUGAAUGUGCUUAUUUAUCUAACUUGCUUGAGGGCGAGCAAGACUUAUGUUUGGGAAGUAUUUGAUGUGUGUGGGUAAUUGUUUAACUUGUUAUUACAUAAUGGAUGGAAUGGCAGGCAGUGUACUACUGCUCCGGUUCAAUUUUGACCACCUCACUAUUUAUUCCAGCGAGUUGAAGGGUAUAAAGUUGCAACCAAUAUUUGCUUCAAUAUUCAAACAUUUAUUUACUUUAGUUCGAUAUUUAGUGUGUCAUUUCAUACUAAAGCCAUCAAUGAAAAACUACUGCCAAAUCUUUAUGAUGCUCUACACUUGUUGGUACCUGAUAAAAUUGGGGUUGGACUUGCUUUGUCUAAUUCUGAAGAACACAAUAUCACCACGAUACCAGGAUGUGUGGUUAGUUAUUCUCUUCUUUGUACAUACAUUUAGACAUAAUUUUUUGUUUGUUGUAGGAAGUGGAAUACAUACAACAGUUUAUUAUUUUUAUCUCCUUGGAAUUCUUCAACUUGUUGCACUAAACCUUAACCCUUUUCUUGGCUGUAUUUAGGAAAGACUUUCUGUUUGAGUCAGAUUGCAGAGCUGCUGUGUACCAAUCCUGUUGCGUUUGAGGCUACUGAGAUAAUUCAGCAUAUUCUUGUGCUACUCUUAGUCGAUUUGAAGGCCUCUCGUUCUUGCAAAUGUUAUCUCUCGUGGAACUAAAGUGUUUUCCGUGAUAGUUCCUACUGCAUAAAUAGACUAGAAAGUACUUAGUCGAUCCGAAGGUCGAGGGUGGUAGGGGGCGACUGAGUUCUUAACUUAAAAGAUGAGGGGGAAAGGGUGGAAAACUGAAGGGGUGGAAAACUGAAGGCACAAGUCUAUUUAUUGAUUUUUGAGCUUGCUUUGUGAUCUUUUGUUUCUUGGUUGUUGCGCCUAUAUUUUUCCUACUUAUUUAAUUCAUUCUUUGCUGCAUUUUGCAGUUUUAUAAUUGAUCUGUUACACAUAUUAUAUUUUUGUUUGUUAUAAUUGAUCUGUUACAUACAUUUUAUUUUUGUUUGUUAUACUGUGCCUGACUUUUUUCUACUUUUUCUAAUCCACUUUUUGCUACCUUGCACCAUAAUUAAUUAAUACAUACAUAGCAUCCUAUUUUUCUUUGUCUCAUAUGCCCUGUACAAAUAUGUGCUAUAUAAGUGUUUCUUUGAUAUGUAAACCCCAUUGAUUGUCAAAUCUUGGAUUCUUAAUAUAUAUGUUAAAUGUUUUUAUAGGCUCUUUCCUAGUUACUUACUACACACAUUUCCUUUUUACUUUGGCAUUCGGUUUGCUGUAAUUGCAUCUAAAAAAGAAACCGUGGGCCAUGGAAGCUGGUUGGGCACUCAAUUAGUGUCAAGUAAAGAUACUUUCUAUGAGGUUAGUGUUGCCACUACUGUAGCAGAGUGACUGACCUUUCUCAUGAUUUUAAUAUUUUUGCAAUGCAGGAAUGGAAACUGCAGCUUGUUGCCACUAUGUACAAUACAUGGAAUCUAGACUACUUCGAUUUCUGUAUAUUUGGUCAAGUUCCUCAACAAUUUAAUUUAACUUAACAUCUCUUAUAUGCCAGUUCAGUAGUUUGUACAUAGUCUACUGUGUUUGAGUUUGUUUUCUUUACCUGUCCGUUUGAUGAUUAUGAUUGAUACAACAAAUUUUGGUUUACUGAGUGAACAUAAGAACAGAUUAAUAGUGUUGUAAUAUACUAUUCAACUUAACUAUGAAUUGUAAUGUUACCCCGUUCUAAAAUUUUCAGCUUGCCUGUAAUGUUUAUCCUUUGUGAAUGUUUCUGCUUCAGGAUCAGUCAAUAAGCGUCAACUUGUGACUCACCAUAUGCUGUGUAUUGCUCUACGAGCUGCUUUAGAUGCUUUAGGGAAGCUUGCAAAUUCAAGUGUUUGUUCCUUCCUAGGUUAUUGGUUAAUGUUAUUAUUGUGAAUUUCAGUCUAACCUUGGAUUUAUGACAUUCCAAUGUUUUCCUUCGGGAGAAAGGCAUUAGAGCAGUUUCUGGACCAUCUCAUUCAGUAUCACUGCUCUUUUUUGACCACCUCACUAUUUAUUCCAGCGACUUGAAGGGUAUAAAGCUGCAACCAAUACUUGCUUCAAUAUUCAAACAUUUAUUUGUUAAACCUAACUUUAGUUCGAUAUUAAGUGUGUCAUUUCAUACUAAAGCCAUCAAUGAAGAACUUCUGCAUAAUCAGUCUGAUGCUCUACACUUGUUUGUACCUGAUAAAAUUGAAGUUGGUCUAGCUUUGUCUAAUUCUGAAGAACACGAUACCAGGAUCUGUGGAAAGAAAUUCUUUUUGAGUCAGAUUACAGAGGUGUGUGCCAAUCCUGUUGCACUUGAGGCUACCGAGAUAAUUCAGCAUAUUCUCGUGUUACUCUUAGUCAAUUUGAAAGCUUCUCUGAGCAUUUAGAUUCAUUCUUGCAAAUGUUAUCUAUUGUUCAACUACUAAUGUGUUUUCCUUGAUAGAUCCUAUUGCAUAAAUAGACUAGAUUGUACUUAGUCGAUCUGAAGGUCGAGGGUGGUAGGGGUUGACUGACUUCUUAACUUAAAAGAAGCGGGGGGAAGGGCUGAAGACAGAAGGCACAAGUCUAUUUUUUGCUUUUUGAGCUUGCUUUGCUUGAUCUUCUGCUUCUCUGUUGUUGCGUCUAUAUUUUUCUACUUAUUUAAUUCAUUAUUUGCUGCCUUUUGCAGCUUUAUAAUUAAUCUGUUACAUAUAUUAUAUUUUUGUGUGUUAUUAUACUGUGCCUGAUAUUUUUCAGCAUUUUUUAAUCCACUCUUUGGUACCUUGCAGCUUUAUAAUUAAGGCAUACGUAGUUUCCUAUUUUUCUUCGUCUCAUAUGCCGUGUACAAAUAUGUGCUAUAUUAGUGUUUCUUUGAUAUAUAAACCUCAUUUAUUGUUAACUCUUGGCAUAUUAAUAUCGGUUAAUGUUUUUACAAUCUCUUUCCCAAGUACUUAUGAGACACAUUUCCUUUUACUUUGGCAUUCGGUUUGCUGUGUUGCCACUACUGUGGCAGGCUGACUGAUCUUUCUCAUGAUUUUAAUAUUUUUGCAAUGCCGGAUUUAAUGACAAUGUAUGGAAUCUAGACUACUCUGAUCUCUAUAUAUUUGAUGGCAUGAUUUUUUCUGUUGAAGUGAUCUGUUUGGUCAAGUUCCUCAACAAUUUAUUUUGACCUAACAUCUCUUAUAUGCCAGCUAGGUAGUUUUAUACAUAGUCUACUGUGUUUGAGUUUUUUAUCUUUACAUGUCCGUUUGAUGAUUAUGAUUGAUAAAUCAAAUUAUUGGUUUACAUAGUGAACAUGGUACCGGAUAAAUAAUAUUGUAAAAUACUCUUCAACCUAACUAUGUUAAUUGUAAUGUUACCCUGUUGUAAAAUUUUCAGCUUGCCUAUAAUGUUUAUCCUUUGUGAAUGCUUCUACUUCAGAUCAGUCAUUAAGCAUCAACGCGUGACUCGCCUUACGCUGGGUAUUGCUUUACGAGCUGUUUUAGAUGCUUAGUGGAAGCCUGCAGAUUCAGAAGUUUGUUCCUUCUUAGGUUAUCAGUGAAUGUUAUUAUUGUGAAUUAUAGUCUGACCUUGGAUUUAUGACAUUAUGAUGUUUUCAUUUGGGAGUAAGGCAUUGGAGCAGUCUGUGGACCGUCUUAUUGAGUGGCCACAGUACUGCCAUCAUAUCCUAUACUUUGCAGCAUUUAUAGAGAAGGAACUAACAGUAUUUCAGCGGCUUAUACUGAACCUGAUGUUGGCCAUAGUGCCAAUACUGAUCACCGACGCGGUUAUUUUGGUUUCAGAUUGCAGGCCCACCAUUUUCUCUGAUCGGACCCGGCAGCAUAUUGUGUGGAUUAGCAAUUCCCUCUUCGAUCUCACUACAACAGAGACCACCAAGUUCUCUAGAUGAGAGUUGACUCCUAAUUACAUGAAGCCAUCACAACACACCUACCCUUCCU